UGCGUAGGCGGAUUAAUAAGUCAGUGGUGAAAACCUGCAGCUUAACUGUAGAACUGCCAUUGAUACUGUUAGUCUUGAGUACGGUCAAGGUAGGCGGAAUGUGUAAUGUAGCGGUGAAAUGCUUAGAUAUUACACAGAACACCGAUUGCGAAGGCAGCUUACUGGGCCAUUACUGACGCUGAGGCACGAAAGCGUGGGUAGCGAACAGGAUUAGAUACCCUGGUAGUC
rnacentral:rRNA from 1 species